AUUGAACGCUGGCGGCAUGCCUUACACAUGCAAGUCGAACGGCAGCGCGGGGCAACCUGGCGGCGAGUGGCGAACGGGUGAGUAACAUAUCGGAACAUACCCUAGAGUGGGGAUAACGUAGCGAAAGUUACGCUAAUACCGCAUACGCACUAAGGUGGAAAGUGGGGGAUUCGCAAGAACCUCAUGCUCAUGGAGUGGCCGAUAUCUGAUUAGCUAGUUGGUGAGGUAAAGGCUCACCAAGGCGACGAUCAGUAGCUGGUUUGAGAGAACGACCAGCCACACUGGAACUGAGACACGGUCCAGACUCCUACGGGAGGCAGCAGUGGGGAAUUUUGGACAAUGGGGGCAACCCUGAUCCAGCAAUGCCGCGUGAGUGAAGAAGGCCUCGGUGUAAG
rnacentral:rRNA from 1 species